ACAACGACUACAUUAGAUACCCGCGUAGUCCUGGCCGUAAACGAUGUGGACUUGGUGUUGGGAUGGCUCCGAGCUGCCCCAGUGCCGAAGGGAAGCUGUUAAGUCCACCGCCUGGGAAGUACGGUCGCAAGACUGAAACUUAAAGGAAUUGGCGGGGAGCACCACAACGCGUGGAGCCUGCGGUUUAAUCGGACUCAACGCCGGGAAUCUCACCGGAUAAGACAGCUGAAUGAUAGUCGGGAUGAAGACUCUACUUGACUAGCUG
rnacentral:rRNA from 1 species